rnacentral:rRNA from 1 species
GACGAACGCUGGCGGCGUGCCUAAUACAUGCAAGUCGAGCGCAGGAAACUGACGGAACUCUUCGGAGGGAAGGCAGUGGAAUGAGCGGCGGACGGGUGAGUAACACGUAAGGAACCUGCCUCAAGGAUUGGGAUAACUCCGAGAAAUCGGAGCUAAUACCGGAUAGUUUAUCGGACCGCAUGGUCCGUUGGUGAAAGGCGCUCCGGCGUCACCUUGAGAUGGCCUUGCGGUGCAUUAGCUAGUUGGUGGGGUAACGGCCCACCAAGGCGACGAUGCAUAGCCGACCUGAGAGGGUGAUCGGCCACACUGGGACUGAGACACGGCCCAGACUCCUACGGGAGGCAGCAGCAGGGAAUCUUCCACAAUGGACGAAAGUCUGAUGGAGCAACGCCGCGUGAGUGAUGAAGGUUUUCGGAUCGUAAAACUCUGUUGUAAGGGAAGAACACGUACGAGAGGGAAUGCUCGUACCUUGACGGUACCUUACGAGAAAGCCACGGCUAACGAAGGGCCAGCCGCCGCGGUAA